rnacentral:rRNA from 1 species
CGGCAGCUUAACAUGCAAGUCGAACGGCAGCAUGGAGGAGCUUGCUCCUCUGAUGGCGAGUGGCGAACGGGUGAGUAAAGCAUCGGAACGUACCGUGUAGUGGGGGAUAACGUAGCGAAAGUUACGCUAAUACCGCAUACGCGCUGAGGUGGAAAGCGGGGGAUCGUAAGACCUCGCGCUAUACGAGCGGCCGAUGUCAGAUUAGCUAGUUGGUAGGGUAAAGGCCUACCAAGGCGACGAUCUGUAGCGGGUCUGAGAGGAUGAUCCGCCACACUGGGACUGAGACACGGCCCAGACUCCUACGGGAGGCAGCAGUGGGGAAUUUUGGACAAUGGGGGCAACCCUGAUCCAGCCAUGCCGCGUGAGUGAAGAAGGCCUUCGGGUUGUAAAGCUCUUUCGGCUGGGAAGAAAUCGCACAGGCCAAUACCCUGUGUGGAUGACGGUACCAGCAUAAGAAGCACCGGCUAACUACGUGCCAGCAGCCGCGGUAAUACGUAGGGUGCGAGCGUUAAUCGGAAUUACUGGGCGUAAAGCGUGCGCAGGCGGUUAGAUAAGUUUGAUGUGAAAUCCCCGGGCUCAACCUGGGAACUGCAUUGAAGACUGUCUGACUAGAGUACGGCAGAGGGGGGUGGAAUUCCACGUGUAGCAGUGAAAUGCGUAGAGAUGUGGAGGAACACCGAUGGCGAAGGCAGCCCCCUGGGUCGAUACUGACGCUCAUGCACGAAAGCGUGGGGAGCAAACAGGAUUAGAUACCCUGAUAGUCCACGCCCUAAACGAUGUCAACUAGUUGUUGGUAGGUUUA